CAGAAUAGUCUGUGUUAAAUUUAAAUGGGGACACAAAAACAGGAACCAAGCUUGUGGCCUCAGUAUCUAGGGUGUGGGCACAUAGGUAAUCUGCAUGACAACAGCAACGCCUGACAGCUGGAGCGCCUUGGGGCUGGGACUAGCAUGUGCGCCUACGAUAGGCUGAGUAAGUCUAAACCACACUCAGCCUCGACUCUGACAGGCCAGCUCAGAAGUGGGAACUAUUUCUGUCAGAGUAUAUAAGAAGAACUUUGUAAGAAUAAGUUAAUUCUCUGUUCUGCCCUGCGUGGUGUUAAAGUGAACCUGUAUAUAUGAAAAUUGCAUUUACCAUUUAUAGCUUGAGUAAUAAAAAUACUUAUAGUAUAUUCAGUGACUCUGCGUCACAUUUUAUCCUGAUACCAGAUUCGAUUGACGCAACCCUAUCAAUUGGUGACCCCAACGUGAUCUGGUAGAAGGACUUUGCUGGAAAUUGUCCGGCCGAUUGGCCAUUGCUGUCGUCGGACGGCGUGCCUCACAAAGUCUGACCAGUCAACUAAAAAGCUCAGUUUGGGACCCAUAAUCCAGGCUGGACAGGAGGAAGUCAACCUGCAUUUCUAGAUUCACCAUCACCUGCCACGAGAGCCUCAGUGGGCUUUUAUAGAUGGACUCAUCGAGGUUGAAGAUGGAGUCCAACCACGCCUUCAUCUGAUCCUGACGACAACAGACACAUCAUCAACUAUUAUUUAAUGACCAACUACAAAGAUAAGGAUGAACAAACCAUCACACAGUUCGAGAGAGAGAGAAAUGCACAUUAAUGAGGAGGUAGAAGUUCCCAGCAGACUCUGUCCAGGCUCCUCCAGCAGGGCGAAUCCUCAUUAUCACUUCCAUGAGCAGAUAAAAGGUACCAGGCCUCUGGAGAAGGAGCAGGGGACAUGAGUGAGUGGCUACAGACCUGGUAUGGCUACAGUGUGGAUAGGGUAGAUAAACAACAGGAUGUUUACAUUAUUAGGGCCACUUACAGAUGUUGGAAGAGAUGUUUUUCCUUCUAGAAGGCUUAGUAGAACGAAUUCAUAAAAUACAUCCGUGAAGUUGAUGUGGUUGAUCUGAAGUCGAACAAAUAAGAUAAUUACAUCAUUUUCAUUGACAAGCACUUUAGAAAGUCUCAUUGAGUAGAUGUUGGAUGACGGUGACGGUGCCUGCAGCUAACGCUCCAGCUUGCAUGUAAACCUACUCCUACAAGAGCCAUCUCCAGCUCUAGUCGCUCCCUGUUUGCUGGCUCAUAAAUUAAGUUCACCAGGAUGUCGUAGGCCUGCUGAAACUCCCUCAAAUCCUCAAAACAAAACAAUCAUAAAAUUCCUUAGAACUUGGAUCAUAAACUCAAAGAUUCAGGUCUGUAAUUCAGAGGGCCUCUGAUUGUUUGGCUUGUAAGACAUUGUAACUUUUCAACUAAACCUUAUGAAUCACUAUUUCCUAAAUGUCAGCCACUGGGCAGACUGGUUGAAUCAACGUUGUUUCCUUGUCAUUUCAACAACAACAAUGUAAUGUGAUGUUGAAUCAACAUGGAAAACUGAUUGGAAUUGAAAAAAGUAUUUUUUUCACCCAACUUUUAACCUAAGUCCAAUGACAUGGUACAUUUGUUUCAUUGAUUUCACAUUGAAUUCACAUUCGUUGACAACUCAACCAAAUGUAACUAAAACUACAUGCUGAAAUGACGUCUGUGCCCAGUGGGAACUAUAUAUCUGGUCUGAUGAAUACUGUACAAUUAUGUAAAUGGUUACCUGCUGGUUGAGCUCGGACAGGCCACUCAACACCAUCCUCCCAGCGUGGGUGAGGUAAUUAAGGGAGGUACUGUCUGAGGAUGUCAGAGCCUGUGAGAACAAGACAGUACAUUUAGAAAUAGUACAGAAAUGUACAUCAAAUGAAAUACAAAAGGCGGUAAAUUCACACUUUCUCACCUCCAUAGCACGUUGGAUACCAGCCAGCCUCAGAGAGAAGUUGGUUGUCCCUUGGUUUCCAAAGUAACUCCUGUAAAUACAAAUGUUUAGUAACAAAUGUGCAACAUAAGAAGCUUAAGUAUAAAUUAAUGCCAUGAGAUUAACAUAUCCUUUUAUGUUACAACUGCAGGAUUCAGAAAAACCAUACCAAUGUAGGAUCUUAAUUUGAUCACUCGUUUGUUGCUGAGAAACUUGUAGUGUAUUUUUUUUUUUUUUUAAGGCUGUUAAAUUUUGUCAUUUCCACUUGGAAAUGUCAGACUUGAUUUGCCCUAACGAAAAGUAUAUAAACCCCUACAAAAAUGUAAAUUAUAAUCCACAUAAUAACUAAUAUUUCCUAUGCCAAAAGUGUGCAAACCUGUUAGCCACCCUUUGCCUUGAUAUUUGAAGAAUCUUAAACAUAAAAUAUAUUUUGAUUUGUUUAACAUUUCUUUGGUUACUACAUGAUUCCAUAUGUGUUCUUUCAUAGUUUUGAUGUCUUCACUAUUAUUCUACAACGUAGAAAAUAGUAAAAAUAAAGAAAAACCCUUGAAUGAGUAGGUGUUUGAAAAUUUUUGACCGGUAGUGUAUAUAAACUGUUUCAAAUCUA